ensembl:miRNA MIR12209 microRNA mir-12209
AUCAAAGUGAAAGGUCAAGAUUUUAAGUCAUGGGUUGAUCGUGACCUUCUCUUUGUAUU